AUAUACAUGAGGUAAUCAGACAGACUGCAUAUAUACAUGGGGUAAUCAGACAGACAUUGCAUAUAUACAUGGGGUAAUCAGACAGACAUUGCAUAUGUACAUGGGGUAAUCAGACAGACAUUGCAUAUAUACAUGAGGUAAUCAGUCAGACAUUGCAUAUGUACAUGAGGUAAUCAGACAGACAUUGCAUAUAUACAUGAGGUAAUCAGACAGACAUUGCAUAUAUACAUGGGGUAAUCAGACAGACAUUGCAUAUAUACAUGAGGUAAUCAGACAGACAUUGCAUAUAUACAUGAGGUAAUCAGUCAGACAUUGCAUAUAUACAUGAGGUAAUCAGACAGACAUUGCAUAUAUACAUGGGGUAAUCAGACAAACAUUGCAUAUAUACAUGAGGUAAUCAGUCAGACAUUGCAUAUAUACAUGAGGUAAUCAGUCAGACAUUGCAUAUAUACAUGAGGUAAUCAGACAGACAUUGCAUAUAUACAUGGGGUAAUCAGACAGACAUUGCAUAUAUACAUGAGGUAAUCAGACAGACAUUGCAUAUAUACAUGAGGUAAUCAGACAGACAUUGCAUAUAUACAUGGGGUAAUCAGACAGACAUUGCAUAUAUACAUGAGGUAAUCAGACAGACAUUGCAUAUAUACAUGGGGUAAUCAGACAGACAUUGCAUAUAUACAUGGGGUAAUCAGACAGACAUUGCAUAUAUACAUGGGGUAAUCAGACAGACAUUGCAUAUAUACAUGGGGUAAUCAGACAGACAUUGCAUAUAUACAUGAGGUAAUCAGACAAACAUUGCAUAUAUACAUGAGGUAAUCAGACAGACAUUGCAUAUAUACAUGAGGUAAUCAGACAGACAUUGCAUAUAUACAUGAGGUAAUCAGACAGACAUUGCAUAUAUACAUGAGGUAAUCAGACAGACAUUGCAUAUAUACAUGAGGUAAUCAGACAGACAUUGCAUAUAUACAUGGGGUAAACAGACAGACAUUGCAUAUAUACAUGGGGUAAACAGACAGACAUUGCAUAUAUACAUGAGGUAAUCAGACAGACAUUGCAUAUAUACAUGAGGUAAUCAGACAGACAUUGCAUAUAUACAUGGGGUAAACAGACAGACAUUGCAUAUAUACAUGGGGUAAACAGACAGACAUUGCAUAUAUACAUGAGGUAAUCAGACAGACAUUGCAUAUAUACAUGGGGUAAUCAGACAGACAGACAUUGCAUAUAUACAUGAGGUAAUCAGACAGACAUUGCAUAUAUACAUGAGGUAAUCAGACAGACAUUGCAUAUAUACAUGAGGUAAUAAGACAGACAUUGCAUAUAUACAUGAGGUAAUCAGACAGACAUUGCAUAUGUACAUGAGGUAAUCAGACAGACAUUGCAUAUAUACAUGAGGUAAUCAGACAGACAUUGCAUAUAUACAUGGGGUAAUCAGACAGACAUUGCAUAUAUACAUGAGGUAAUCAGACAGACAUUGCAUAUAUACAUGGGGUAAUCAGACAGACAUUGCAUAUAUACAUGAGGUAAUCAGACAGACAUUGCAUAUGUACAUGAGGUAAUCAGACAGACAUUGCAUAUAUACAUGGGGUAAUCAGACAGACAUUGCAUAUAUACAUGAGGUAAUCAGACAGACAUUGCAUAUAUACAUGAGGUAAUCAGACAGACAUUGCAUAUAUACAUGAGGUAAUCAGACAGACAUUGCAUAUAUACAUGAGGUAAUCAGUCAGACAUUGCAUAUAUACAUGAGGUAAUCAGACAGACAUUGCAUAUAUACAUGGGGUAAUCAGACAGACAUUGCAUAUAUACAUGGGGUAAUCAGACAGACAUUGCAUAUAUACAUGAGGUAAUCAGACAGACAUUGCAUAUAUACAUGGGGUAAUCAGACAGACAUUGCAUAUAUACAUGGGGUAAUCAGACAGACAUUGCAUAUAUACAUGAGGUAAUCAGACAGACAUUGCAUAUAUACAUGAGGUAAUCAGACAGACAUUGCAUAUAUACAUGAGGUAAUCAGACAGACAUUGCAUAUAUACAUGAGGUAAUCAGACAGACAUUGCAUAUAUACAUGAGGUAAUCAGACAGACAUUGCAUAUAUACAUGAGGUAAUCAGACAGACAUUGCAUAUAUACAUGGGGUAAUCAGACAGACAUUGCAUAUAUACAUGGGGUAAUCAGACAGACAUUGCAUCUAUACAUGAGGUAAUCAGACAGACAUUGCAUAUAUACAUGGGGUAAUCAGACAGACAUUGCAUAUAUACAUGAGGUAAUCAGACAGACAUUGCAUCUAUACAUGAGGUAAUCAGACAGACAUUGCAUAUAUACAUGGGGUAAACAGACAGACAUUGCAUAUAUACAUGAGGUAAUCAGACAGACAUUGCAUAUAUACAUGAGGUAAUCAGACAGACAUUGCAUAUAUACAUGAGGUAAACAGACAGACAUUGCAUAUAUACAUGAGGUAAUCAGACAGACAUUGCAUAUAUACAUGGGGUAAACAGACAGACAUUGCAUAUAUACAUGAGGUAAUCAGACAGACAUUGCAUAUAUACAUGAGGUAAUCAGACAGACAUUGCAUAUAUACAUGAGGUAAUCAGACAGACAUUGCAUAUAUACAUGAGGUAAUCAGACAGACAUUGCAUAUAUACAUGGGGUAAACAGUCAGACAUUGCAUAUAUACAUGGGGUAAUCAGUCAGACAUUGCAUAUAUACAUGGGGUAAACAGACAGACAUUGCAUAUAUACAUGAGGUAAUCAGACAGACAUUGCAUAUAUACAUGAGGUAAUCAGACAGACAUUGCAUAUAUACAUGAGGUAAUCAGACAGACAUUGCAUAUAUACAUGAGGUAAUCAGACAGACAUUGCAUAUAUACAUGGGGUAAACAGACAGACAUUGCAUAUAUACAUGAGGUAAUCAGACAGACAUUGCAUAUAUACAUGAGGUAAUCAGACAGACAUUGCAUAUAUACAUGAGGUAAUCAGACAGACA